rnacentral:rRNA from 1 species
UGGGGAAUCUUGCGCAAUGGGCGAAAGCCUGACGCAGCGACGCCGCGUGAGGGAAGAAGGCCUUCGGGUUGUAAACCUCUUUCAGGAGGGACGAAGCUACUCGGGUGAAUAGCCCAGAGGGUGACGGUACCUCCAGAAGAAGCCCCGGCUAACUACGUGCCAGCAGCCGCGGUAAUACGUAGGGGGCAAGCGUUGUCCGGAUUUACUGGGCGUAAAGAGCGUGUAGGCGGCCAAACAGGUCCGUUGUGAAAACUGGAGGCUCACCCUCCAGACGUCUACGGAAACCGUGUGGCUAGAGUCCGGAAGAGGAGAGUGGAAUUCCUUGUGUAGCGGUGAAAUGCGCAGAUAUCAGGAAGAACACCUAUCGCGAAGGCAGCUCUCUGUGACGGUACUGACGCUGAGACGCGAAAGCGUGGGGAGCGAACAGG